rnacentral:rRNA from 1 species
GACGAACGCUGGCGGCGUGCUUAACACAUGCAAGUCGAACGGAAAGGCCCUGCUUUUGUGGGGUGCUCGAGUGGCGAACGGGUGCGUAACACGUGAGUAACCUGCCCUUGACUUUGGGAUAACUUCAGGAAACUGGGGCUAAUACCGGAUAGGAGCUCCUGCUGCAUGGUGGGGGUUGGAAAGUUUCGUCGGUUGGGGUUGGACUCGCGGCUUAUCAGCUUGUUGGUGGGGUAGUGGCUUACCAAGGCUUUGACGGGUAGCCGGCCUGGGAGGGUGACGGGCCCCAUGGGCCUUAGGUAGGGCCCAGAUGGCUACGGGAGGCAAUGAUGGGAAAUUUUAUACAGAGGGAGGGAGUCUGUAUGGAAAGCAGCGGGGUCGGGAAGACCGUCUUUCGGUUGGAAACCGCAUUUGGCUUGUACCGAACGGUGGUGACGGUAAUGGGAUAAGAAGCAACGGCUAACUACGUG